GAUGAAGAACGUAGCGAAAUGCGAUAACUAAUGUGAAUUGCAGAAUUCAGUGAAUCAUCGAGUCUUUGAACGCACAUUGCGCCCUCUGGUAUUCCGGAGGGCAUGCCUGUCCGAGCGUCAUUGCUGCCCUCCAGCCCGGCUGGUGUGUUGGGCCCCGUCCCCCUUCCCGGGGGGACGGGCCCGAAAGGCAGCGGCGGCACCGCGUCCGGUCCUCGAGCGUAUGGGGCUUUGUCACCCGCUCUUGUAGGCCCGGCCGGCGCCAGCCGACCCCCUCAAUCUAUUUUUCAGGUUGACCUCGGAUCAGGUAGGGAUACCCGCUGAACUUAAGAAUAUCAAUAAGCGGAGGA
rnacentral:misc_RNA from 1 species